GGGGCUGUGUGAGGGGGCCGCGGGUUGUGAGGGGCGAUGGCGGGGCCGUGAGGGGCACUGAGAGCUGAUGGAGGGGUGGUGAGGGUAGCUGUGGGGGCUAAUGGGAGCUUUGGAGGCACAGGAGGCUGUGACGGGUGACGGUGAAGGACUGUGAGGAGGGUGCAGGUCAAGGUUGAGGGAGUGUGAGGGGUGAUGAAGGCUGAGGGACCUGAUAGGGGCUGUGAGGGAUGGUGGGUGGCAGUGAGGGGCAGUGUGGGGCAGACAGGGUGGUUGGAGCAGUGUUGUGAUUAAGAGUAUAGAAAUUUGGUGGAAAAGAAACCCCUUGUAAGCCAACUGGUCGUUAGAGAUCAGAGAUGGUCAGGGUAGCUAGGCGUAAUCUCUGAUUAUAACCAGUUUGGCACUGUAAGUGGUUGUGUUCAAUAGGAACUUCCAUGAGCACAGGUUGUCAAACAGGGCAUGUUCAACAUCGAGUCUGGAAAUGUUCAAUAAGAAUUUUCACCAUCACAGAUUCAUGAAUAGUGUGUUUUAUUGAAGCAGCAGAAGUGCAAGGGGGAAUAACGGUGAGGUUGUAUGUUUUUUUAGACUUUCAGAAGAAAUUCUUUGCUCAGAUGGUGGUGAGGCCCUGGCACAGGUGCCUAGAGAAGCUGUGGCUGCGCUGUGCGUGGAAGUGUCCUAGGCCAGGUUGGCCAGGGGUUGGAGUAACCUGGGACAGUGGAAGUGACCCUGCCCAUGGCAGGGGGUGGAAUUGAAUGAGCUCUAAAAUUCCUUUCAACCCAAACCGUUUGGAGAUUCUGGAAUUGCCCUAGAUGGAUGCACUAGCUGUGAUAGAGUUCUAACAGUAACAAUAGUGUAGUGUUAGCCCCAGUAAUAGUAAUCAUCAUCAUCUUCUGUAGAAGCUUACAAUGAAUGCUUGGGAGGAGGGAGAGAAGUAGCCUAUCAACUGUCUCUGAGGUCCUUUUGGGUCUUCCUCCUAACUAGGUGAAAUUUUUGCCUACCUUAUAUACAGCCCAAUCUUAUCCCGCUGCUCCUUCUUCACAUAUAGCAUGAUCUGAGCAGAGAGCAGUGUAAUACACUAAUACAUGUGGGACUAAUGUCCUUAAGGUGAUUAGCAUAUGCAGGGUUGUGCAUUUUAAUAUCCAAAUGACUCCUAAUCAGGAAAAAGUUGUUUGUUUGAUGUUUUGCUUUACUUUGUUUUGUUGUGGUGUCCUUUGAAGUUCUGGUCAUGCAGCUUUGUUCUCAUUUACUUCAUUCUUCAGAGCAGAGCAGGAACAUCCCAUCUCCGCAGGACCUGCUCCUUCAGGGCCUUUCCUGAUGUCAGCUAUGCAGCUCUCCAUCCACAGAGAUAACACAGAGGGUACACAGCACACACUGGUCCUCGAGGACACUUCCACACAUGUAAAGUUCCUUGUGCCAAAUGAAGCUGAGCUAGCAAGGAAAGCGGGUUUAAAAGAGGAUGAAAGUAGACGGAGAGCAAACACUGCUCCUUUCCACGUUCCACGACUCUUCAUCUCCCCUGGAUAUCUGUAUGGCUUAAGCACUGUAGUGGGCACAUCAGUCACUGACAUCAUUGUUUCCCCUGGAUUUUGCUCUGAGUGUUUGGUGAAACCUGGAGAAAAAACACCAUUAUCUUUGAAAAUCAUCUGGAAGGGUGAGAAAAUCAUGACCCUUAUGCCGUUCUGGGACCUAGCUGUGGUUGAUGCUGCCACAUGGUUGAUGCUGAUAUUUUGGGGUGCUGGUCUCACGAAGUGGGGGGCUGCUUCUGCCCAUGAGGUACAGGUAUUCCCAUCAUUCUGCUUAUCAGUGUUAAAUUUGCUCUUUUAUGGUGGUGACAUCCUCAGUGCAAAACCAGAGGCAGCAAGCCUGGGCAGCCUAUUCAAGGAAACCUUACCUCUCAGGGCUCUCUUUUCUCUGGUGGAUCCUCUGGUGUCCUGGAAACUGUGAGUCCUGCCUAAAGUUUCUGCAUGAGGAGAUGUUUCGGGAAACUCUGUGUACUCUUUUCUGGUGUCUGAGCUCUCACAGCAGCUUUCUGUAUGGGGUCCUCCUAUGCAACUGGUGAAGAGAGGAAUCCCAUGCCACAGGUCUUGUUAGACCUUUAGCUUCUUGAUGGCUCAGUCUGAUUUGGGUGAAAUUUGUUGAUGAGUUCUGAGCUGUUGGGGAUGGAUGAACAAACAGAAACAGCGUGAUUGCUUAAGUUUUUUUUCCAUUGGAAACUAGGCUGAAGGAGCCAGCUCCACUAUUCCCUAUGGCAUUGCUUAUGACCAAAAACAUUGCAGAGAUAAUGCUUCCUGGUACCUGCAUAGGAUGUUUUGUUGGUGUAAACUUAUUCUGUGCCUUUGGAAACAGCUGACAGAUCUUGAUAUGCAACAGCUGGCCUGAAAUGGCAGAUCCUGCUGCACCAGAGUUUCAAGCAAGAGGCAACCAGAGGAGAAAACUGGGUGAAGAAAUGUGUGAUCUUGGGCUUUUUCCAACAGAAAGCAAGACCUGCUGACACAGUGGGGACACAGAAGUAAGUUGUGUUCUCUGGUGUUGGGGCCUUUCAAAGUGAGUAUGCUGGCCCUGGUAGAGUGGGCUUGUGCCAGACAGGUCCUUCCUACUGGACUUCAAAAAGCAGGAGGAUGAAGAUACUGGGAGAGAUGACCCAAGUAGUUUUUUGGUCUGAUUUUACUCAUAACUUGGGACUUUUGUUUGUGAUACAAAUGUAAAAGUUGAGGCCCAGUCUCCCUCUACAGCACAGCAGAAUAAUAGAAUUUUAGAAACUCCUGAAUUGGAAGGAACCUACAAAGAUCAUCGAGUUCAACUCCUGGCCCUGCACAGGACAACUUCAAGAAUCCUAUCAUGUGCCUGAGAGCCUUGUCCAAACAUUUCUUGAACUCUGAGAAGCCUCGAGACAUGACUACUGCCUGGGGAGCCUGUUCCAGUCUCUGACCACCCUGAACAACCUUUGUUGUGCUAGCACGGCAGACUUGAGCUGCAACAGUGAAUCUGAGACCCUAAAGAAGGACAACGAUCCUACCAUGGGGACAGUCCUGCCUUCCUACAGUUCUUUCACUUGCAGAAACCCAAGGCACAUUACAUCUUACAGCCUUGUACCAAGGACUCAUCACCUCUGGGACUGGCCAUCAGCUUGAGCUUUAUGGCUCCCAGCACUCCUCUGUGGUCUCCCCAGCUGCAGCAUAGAAGAGGCUCUGUGUGGCUGCCUGAGGCCAUGGCAUAAACAUGGAUGGGAAGGGCAACUUCAUCUUGCUGCUCCCUCAGAAUGUCAGCUGUUCCAAGAGGAAGGGAGCUGAAGCAGCGAAGGCCAGGAUGUUGGAAUAGUCUCUUGUCCCAGCUCCUCCUCUCAGAGGAUGUUGCCACUGGCUCUGGUGGACAUGAGUCCCUGUUCUUGUUUCCCCAUGGCUGGUUCCUUGUGCAGGCAGCUCUGCUUGAGGUUUUUUACCCCUGAGACUUCAGCUCCAGCUCUGCAUGGAGAGGAGCUGCAGUUGCAUAUGAAAAUGGGGCCAACUCUUGUCUCCCUCUCUGAGGUGCUGGGGUCAGGAGUCAGCACGAUGGGCUGAUCAUCAAUCUGCUCCAUCCACUGUCCCUGCCAAGAGUGGCCUGUGCCCUGGAUGUGCAGCAGGGGUGGGGUCUGGCUGCGUGCAGCAGCAUGCUGGCCACAGGGGUGGCCACACAGGGUCAUUCCAGCUCUGCCACUGGCACUCCUGGCCCUUCACAUACAGCACGACUGUGUCUCGAAGAGUGUGUCCUGACAUCAUGUUUCUGGCCACAUGUUCAGGCAGAGACAUAUUUGGAGGUGAUUAAUUAGUAGAAAGUAAACAGGUCUAGAAAUGAGGACCAGCUGCCAGCUGAAACAGGGAGCAGUGGUAAGUUUAUUGCAGAGACCAAAGGCUAUGAGCAGCAGCUUUGGAGGGUUUUGGGGAUUCCUUGCAGCUAAUUGCCAUGUGACAAACCUUUCUUGUCUCUGCUAGCAGCUGCUGUGGGACUGAGCUUGUGGUGAUCUGUGGUGCCUCAGCUAUGGCAUUUAUUCAGAGUUAACCAACAGACAGGCUUGUUUUACACUACCAGUUCACCAUGUUUGAUUCAAAAAAGGCAUGAGAGAAAUGUUGGUGUGUUGGUGGCUGUUGAAGGCCACCACUUGGAUGUUCCUAAGCUGACUGCUCCUGGGAAGGUCUCAUGUGAGUUCUUCUGUGAUCUGGCAGGGCUGGACACAUUGUUCCAGUCUUUUUGCUGCAACCUUGUGAGGUGUCUCUAAAUGCAUCCCUGUAAGCAUCCAACAAAAUCAUUAUUUUCUUGCCUUUUCUUAGCAUUCUUUCUGAAUGUAGGAUCCAACAAAUUAGGAGAUGGGGCACAAGAGAGGAAUAUUGGGCAGGUCAGACCCUGCAUGAAAGCACGCUUCCUGAAGACUCCUGUCUUGUGUUGUCUACUGGGGCUCAAGUUCAGGCUUGAAUUCUAGACAGGCAUUUUGAGGGCUCUUCUCUGUAAAAACGUAUUCUUCCCUUGGGUAUCUUCAUUAAAUAUAGCCCUGUUGCCUCCAUAUUUUUUUCUGAGGUCACGAUCUUCAGGAUGCCCCAAAUGUGCAUGAUUGUCCUUCUUUCCCUACCUUGUCCCCAUGAUUCCCAUGUCUCCACCUCCUUGGUGGCUCAGCAAGGGUGGGGAUGGCACCAGUGUUCAGCUCCAGUGUGGGGGCCAGGCUGGGAGAUGGGAUCAUGCUGUGGGCUUGUGCCUCACAGAACUCCCAAGAG